GCUGGGCAUGGUGGUGCACACCUGUAAUCCCAGCAGCUUGGGAAGCUGGGACAGGAGAAUCAUGAGUUCAAAGCCAGGCUCAGUAAAAGUGAGGUGCUGAGCAGCUCAGUGAGACCCUGUCUCUA
rnacentral:sRNA from 1 species